rnacentral:rRNA from 1 species
ACAAUGGAGAGUUUGAUCCUGGCUCAGGAUGAACGCUAGCGGCAGGCUUAAUACAUGCAAGUCGUGGGGCAGCGCAGGUAGCAAUACUGGGCGGCGACCGGCAAACGGGUGCGGAACACGUACACAACCUUCCUACAAGUGGGGAAUAGCCCAGAGAAAUUUGGAUUAAUACCCCGUAACAUAACGAUGUGGCAUCACAUUGUUAUUAUAGCUUCGGCGCUUGUUGAUGGGUG